rnacentral:lncRNA from 13 species
UCUCCUGCUCUCGGAGCCACUGCCCCACCCCCGCCGUGGGGGGGCGCCGAGGAGGGAGCGGGCGUCUGAGCGCGGAGGCGUGCGGGGAGCGGGCUGGGGAGCGGCGGUCGCUACGGAUCCCCUUGCUCUGACGGCAGCUCAGACGCCCGCGGAGGCGGCUCCGCGGGGCGAGCACGGAAGGGGGCGAGUGCCGGGACCCCUCCCCCUCCGCUCGCGGCGCGCCGCGCGCCCCCGCGUCGCCUGGCGCGCCCCCGCGCCCUCGCGCCGGCCCGGGCAGACACCUACGCAGACGCGAAAGUGAAAGGGGGGUGACCCGGCCCGGCGGGCUACAGGCGGCGCGCGGGCACGCGGCAGGGGGCGGAGGACGGAAGGGUGAACCGGGUUCCCAGGAUUCUCCCGCGCCCGCUGCUCCUCUGCGGAGCCUCCCCGGAGUCCCACGUCCCCACCCCGGCCACGCAGAUCAGCACGUCAGGAGAUAUGUAUGCGUGUGCUUGUGUGUGCGCGCGUGUUCACGCGCACUCGCGGGUUUGCGAGACCAGAAUCAAUUGUGUCUCCAGGAAACACCACUUCCCAUAUUUGUUGGGAAAUAUCAUUUCAAGACCACAAUCAAGUCUCUACUGAUGUUCAUUGCUUUUGGAUUUAUCAUUGUUUCUAGGCACUUUCUGUGUAUAGAAUUAGGAUAUAAACAUACUUCACAAAGUACCUCAUGUGUUCUUACUGAUAUAUCUAGUUGAAAUUUGCAACUAUAGGAUUUUUACUUAACCUAGUCUGUAUUACACUCCUGUUUCCUUUUAAUAGUCUAAGAAUUCUUACAAGACAUAGGAAAUGUUACAAUUAAAAAUUUUAGGCUGGGCACAGUGGCUCAUACCUGUAAUCCCUGCACUUAGGGAGGGUGAGGCGGGUGGAUUACUUGAGGUCAGGAGUUUGAGACAAGCCUGGCCAACAUGGGGAAACCCUGUCUCUACUAAAAAUACAAAAAAUAGCUAGGUGAGGUGGCACGCACCUGUAAUCCCAGGUCUCAGGAGGCUGAGGCAGGAGAAUUGUUUGAACCCAGAAGGCAAAGGUUGCAGUGAGCUGAGAUGUUGCCACUGCACUCCAGCCUGGUCCAUGGAGCAAGACUCCAUCUCAAAAAAAAAAAAAAAAAAGGCCGAGGCGGGCAGAUCACAAGGUUAGGAGAUCGACACCAUCCUGCUGACUAACAUAAUGAAACCCUGUCUCCACUAAAAAUACAAAAAAUUAGCCUGGGGUGGUGUUGCACACCUGUAAUCCCAGCGAAUCGGGAGGCUGAGGCAGGAGAAUCACUUGGACCCAGGAGUAGGAGGUUGCAGUGAGCCGAGAUCACACCACUGCACUCCAGCCUGGGCGACAGAGUGAGACUCCGUCUCAAAACAAAACAAAACAAACAAAAAUCAUAAUUAGUCAUUUGUUUUAUUCCAUGCGAAACAGUUCCAUAACGAUACUACCACUAAUUAGCAUUACAGAAAACAGCUAAAACUUUUUAAUAUGCCACCCUACUCUCUCC